rnacentral:rRNA from 1 species
CUUGGACAAUGGGCGCAAGCCUGAUCCAGCAAUGCCGCGUGUGUGAAGAAGGCCUUCGGGUUGUAACGCACUUUUGUCCGGAAAGAAAUCCGUCUGGCUAAUACCCGGACGGGAUGACAGUACCGGGAGAAUAAGCUCCGGCUAACUUCGUGCCAGCAGCCGCGGUAAUACGAGGGGAGCUAGCGUUGUUCGGAAUUACUGGGCGUAAAGCGCGCGUAGGCGGUUGUUUAAGUCAGAGGUGAAAGCCCGGGGCUCAACCCCAGAAUAGCGCUUGAAACUAGAAAACUAGAAGCUUUGAGAGGUCAGUGGAAUUCCGAGUGUAGAGGUGAAAAUCGUAGAUAUUCGGACGAACACCAGUGGCGAAGGCGACUGACUGGACAAGU